rnacentral:misc_RNA from 1 species
AAUCAUUUGCAAGAAAAGAAUUCACACCAAAUCAUGCUUUUAAAAUAAAUUUUAAGUUAAGAAUUGAAUUGUUUUCAAUUAACCAAAAAGAAAUCUCGUAAAAUUCUACCUUCCCCCAACAAGGGGAUACAGAACCACAGAGUAACCAACAAGGAAAUGAACUUUCUUCACUAUACUUCAGAAACACCAUAGUUUCAAAAUUUAUCACAAAUUCAUAGAAAAAAAAAA